AGUUGGCUAUAUUCUUUUUCAUAUUGUGCGUCAACUAAGGUGGUGGAGGAAAUAACAUAGCAAUAUUCUUUCACUACAACAAAAUUGAUAUUUAGUAGCAAUUUAAUAGAGACAAUUAUCCAACAACUACUAUUACUUAUUAUCUAAUUGUACUUUAGCGACAAUUAUUUUAAAAUAUAUAUCUUUACCGACUAAUAUUUAUAUAUCAAAUAUAUUUAC
rnacentral:lncRNA from 1 species